rnacentral:tRNA from 1 species
GGUAAAAUGGCUGAAGUAAGCACAAGAUUGUAAUCCUUGUUAUAAAGGUUAAAGUCCUUUUUUUAUCA